GACAAGGGGGUGAUCUGGCUGUGAGGUCGUUGCCCUAUUGGCCACCAGGAUUGAUUCAGCUGAUCUGGCUGGCUAGAAAGGGUUGUCUUUCUUCCUGCUGUGCCACAUGCGUCAUUCCCACAGCUUGAUGGUAGAGGACCACUGUCCCCAGUGGAGGAGGACAGCUCUCAAAUGCAGGGUAUAUGAGUAGCUGUGUACUGCUAGAACCUCCAAACCGGCUCUAAAAGUAUGCCAAACCAAGUUUGCAUAAAGCUUGGAAAUACAGCAUUAGUCUCAGAAGAACAUGAGAGAUAUCA
ensembl:misc_RNA 7SK 7SK RNA